rnacentral:lncRNA from 1 species
GAAUGAAGUGCUGAUACAGGCUAAAACAUGCUUGAACCUCAAAACACUUGGCUAAGUGGAAGAAGUCAGGUCCUCUAAGUUGUUGCCAAGAAGGACAACAACCUCGGCUAUUUGGGAGUGGGCUGAGAAGCCAAGCCGGAGAUGGUGAAGCAAUCCUGGACUCAGCAACAUCAGGAAACUACUCUCACAGAGACGGGGUUUCACCAUGUUGCCCAGGCUGGUCUCCAACUCCUGGACUCAAGCCAUCCUCCCACCUCGGCCUCCCAAAGUGCUGGGUUUACAGGCGUGAGCUACCGCACCCAACCUGUGUCUCUGCAUUUAUAUAAAUAAAUAUAUAUACCCAUUUAAAUGUA